GAUGAACGCUGGCGGCGUGCCUAAUACAUGCAAGUCGAGCGAACAGAUAAGGAGCUUGCUCCUUUGACGUUAGCGGCGGACGGGUGAGUAACACGUGGGUAACCUACCUAUAAGACUGGAAUAACUCCGGGAAACCGGGGCUAAUGCCGGAUAACAUUUAGAACCGCAUGGUUCUAAAGUGAAAGAUGGUUUUGCUAUCACUUAUAGAUGGACCCGCGCCGUAUUAGCUAGUUGGUAAGGUAACGGCUUACCAAGGCAACGAUACGUAGCCGACCUGAGAGGGUGAUCGGCCACACUGGAACUGAGACACGGUCCAGACUCCUACGGGAGGCAGCAGUAGGGAAUCUUCCGCAAUGGGGGAAAGCCUGACAGAGCAACGCCGCGGGAGUGAUGAAGGACUUCGGAUCGGAAAACUCUGUUAUUAGGGAAGAACAAAUGUGUAAGUAACUGUGCACGUCUUGACGGUACCUAAUCAGAAAGCCACGGCUAACUACGUG
rnacentral:rRNA from 1 species